rnacentral:misc_RNA from 1 species
GGGAAAGCGUAUAUUCGAUAUAUCAAUUCAAGGAAAACUAGUGAAGAAGGAUUUCAAUAUUAUGGAGGCAUCUGGGGGUGUUGGUAAGAACUUCACAGUGGAAGAUAAAAAUGUUCUUGUCAAUGGCAGUACCCUUGAGAUUCAUCUAUAUUGGGCUGGUAAAGGAACCACAGCUGUGCCAGACAGAGGAGUUUAUGGACCCCUUAUUUCUG